rnacentral:rRNA from 1 species
GAGCGUGCGUCCCAUUAGCUAGUUGGUGCGGUAACGGCGUACCAAGGCGACGAUGGGUAGCUGGUGUGAGAGCACGACCAGCCACACGGGCACUGAGACACGGGCCCGACUCCUACGGGAGGCAGCAGUGAGGAAUAUUGGUCAAUGGGCGGAAGCCUGAACCAGCCAUGCCGCGUGAAGGAUGAAGGCGUUCUGCGUUGUAAACUUCUUUUAUUUGGGAAGAAAAUUGUGGUUUCUACUGCAACCGACGGUACCAGAUGAAUAAGCACCGGCUAACUCCGUG